AUAUAAAAUAUAUUGUCGUAGGUCAGGCCAAUGUUGAAAACUCACGGCAGUCGGCAACCGGCACAACUAUUCCUAACUGCUACAAAGACGCCAUUAUUGUUCCUAUAUUCUUGUUGUUAUUGUGAUUUUACCAGAGUUUAGACAUUUUUCCGGACAUCUCGAUGAAAGACGGUAACCAAUAGGCAAUAACCAUGUAGUUUGAAUUUGACAACCACGUCGAACAGGUGUUGAAGAUCGAUAAUACGGUGACGGAUAUGAGAAUCGGAGAAUAACUACGAUUUGAAAAACAAGUUACAAUUGAUAAUUGACAAGAUAAGUAAAAUGUUGACUGCGAUUCAAUAAUUAGAGUUGCCAAUUACCAGUGCAAACAAGCUUAUCAAUUCUAAUCAUAUUAUUAUAUGAUGACUGAAUAAAAACAUCAAGGUAUAACCAUCCACCUAUAAUUGGACAUCAUAAUCGUAAACAUCACGAUUCAAUAGGCGAAAUUAUACAAGAUACAGGAGCUUCUUCUGUGAAAGACAACAAUGAUAAUAAUUUGUAUGUGUACCUACUUUAGUGUUUAUGACCAAUCCAUUAAAGUAAAACCACAUAUUGAAGAAGCUUUAAACUUCAAAUCAACAAGUAUAGUGAUUAUGUAGAACUAGAUCUUAAAAAAAAAAAAAAAAUACCUUCAAAACUCAACAUGAUGUAAAAAACUAUUAAUUUGA